rnacentral:rRNA from 1 species
AGUGAACGCUGGCGGUAGGCCUAACACAUGCAAGUCGAACGGCAGCACAGUAAGAGCUUGCUCUUACGGGUGGCGAGUGGCGGACGGGUGAGGAAUACAUCGGAAUCUACUUUUUCGUGGGGGAUAACGUAGGGAAACUUACGCUAAUACCGCAUACGACCUACGGGUGAAAGCAGGGGAUCUUCGGACCUUGCGCGAUUGAAUGAGCCGAUGUCGGAUUAGCUAGUUGGGGGGGUAAAGGCCCACCAAGGCGACGAUCCGUAGCUGGACUGAGAGGAUGGUCAGCCACACUGGAGCGGAGACACGGUCCAGACUACUGAGGGAGGCAGCAGUGGGGAAUAGUGGACAGUGGGCGCAAGCAUGAUCCAGCGAUACCGAGUGGGUUGAGAAGGCCUUCGGGUUGUAAAGACGUUUUGUUGGGAGAGAAAAGCAGCAGGUUAAGACCACGCUGUACUGACGGUAACCAAUGAAGAAGCACCGGCUAACUUCGUG